AACGCAUAUUGCGCUUCCUGGUAUUCCGGGGAGCAUGCUCGUUUCAGAAUCAUUUACAAAACUCACACUCUGUCUGAUAAAUUCUUAUAGACCUGACCGGCGGCCAGAGAUAGGGGAUAAAUUCCUUUUGAAUUAAUUUGGACACACUCUGUCUGAUAAAUUCUUAUAGACCUGACCGACGGCCAGAGGCAAUUAAGAUUGGACAAAAGUGUGGAUGUGAGCAUAGUGGUCUGCGCCGACACCCUCGGCACAUUCUUAUCGUUUGCUUUAAAAUGAUUUCGCGCAAUGAAGCUCUCUCAGUGCAACAGUUUUGUUUCCACAUUGGGAGUUGCAUAUUAUUGUGUGCGGUAUCCAUAAAUCCAUGUAUCACGGCGUCUGCAUGCUUGCAUGCAGGUCCGAUAACCUUGGUCUGAAAUCGAGCAAGAAAACCCGCUGAACUUAG
rnacentral:misc_RNA from 1 species